GAUGAACGCUGGCGGCGUGCCUAAUACAUGCAAGUCGAGCGAACGGACGAGAAGCUUGCUUCUCUGAUGUUAGCGGCGGACGGGUGAGUAACACGUGGAUAACCUCCCUAUAAGACUGGGAUAACUUCGGGAAACCGGCUCUAAUACCGGAUGAUCUUUUGAACCGCAUGGUUCAAAAGUGAAAGACGGUCUUGCUGUCACUUAUAGAUGGAUCCGCGCUGCAUUAGCUAGUUGGUAAGGUAACGGCUUACCAAGGCAACGAUGCAUAGCCGACCUGAGAGGGUGAUAGGCCACACUGGAACUGAGACACGGUCCAGACGCCUACGGGAGGCAGCAGUAGGGAAUCUUCCGCAAUGGGCGAAAGCCUGACGGAGCAACGCCGCGUGAGUGAUGAAGGUCUUCGGAUCGUAAAACUCUGUUAUUAGGGAAGAACAUAUGUGUAAGUAACUGUGCACAGAGUGACGGUACCUAAUCAGAAAGCCACGGCUAACUACGUG
rnacentral:rRNA from 1 species